UGGAAUAAAAUUAGAUGAAUAAAUCUAUAUCUUCUAUAGUAAUAUAGGAAAGAAAGAUGUUGUGGAAAAUACAACACUACCCUUAUUGCAAAAGUGUACUAUCCUGGUACUAGGUAAUAUUCCUUAUUCUUUCGGCCUAUUUUAACUUUGAAGACAAAUUAUGGUUGGCUCAUACUUGUAUGACAAUGAAAGAGCUACUAUAAAGGAUGAUUAAGGUUUACACUUAGAUGAUGUUGUAAAUCAAUCAUGUUGUUCUCACGUACAGGCACUAAUCCCAGAUUUGUAUUUUGUAAUAUCCUCUUUGUUGAGAGUUAUAAUCUUAGGAAAUAACAUUAUACCACGAGGUGGUAACACAUAAAGUAACAUAGAUGAUGUUGUAAAUCAAUCAAGUUGUUCUCAUGCAUAUGCAUUGAUCUAAGAUUUGUGCAUACAUAUACAAACUCAAAGUGUUGUAAUUGGCUCACUAGUGUAAACACCCUUUAAUUUGAUUAAAUGAUUCUAGAGAGAUGUUAAACACUCGCAACUUUCAACAUAUGUGGUGGUAUUCUACUAUAUGGAAGUUGAAAGUGGAAUGACCUAAAGAGAUUGUGAAUAAUACUCAACCCUAGAUAUGAGUGAUAAUACUAAACCCUGGAUAGUGGUAUCAAUACUCAACUAAAGAUGCAUGCGUGCUGGAUCUUGAGGAAUCUAUAAGUGCUUCUACCAAUUAUCAUGAGAGGCAUGAACAUACUUAUAGUGCCUGAAGAAGAAAAGUAAAAAAUGUUGGUAUGGUGAGACAAGAUUAAAAUGACAUAGGUUUAGAGAUGCUGCGAAUAAUACAUGGUUCCUCAACAAUCUGAUGAGAAUAUCAAAGAUUGUAUGUUUUAUGGUAGGUCGGAGAGAGCUUAUCAAAAUUGGGGUAGCACUUUGGUGACAUAGUGGUUGGUGACAUUGGUGACAUUGGUCAACCACAAUGUCACAUGUGGCUUUCUUCUUUUUCUUUCACAAGAUUUUUUUGUUGUUUUGCACACUUGUAACAUUGUGGUUGAUAAUGUCACGAAUGUCACCAACCACAAUAUCACCCAAGUAUCAUCCCUUGCGUGUCCCGUCUCUAAUCUUAACAACUCAUUUAGUAACCAUUUAUUACAAUGCCUCGGUAGAACACUAGAUGAACAAUGUAACAGCCUAAUAUUUUAUAUAUAUGUCAUUUAUUAUAAUUUUCUUGAUUUAUCAUUUAAGAGGUUAAUAAUUUAUUUUGCGGAAAUAAUUUAAGGAAAAUAAUGACACCCCUCUAUUUUGAUUAGUUAAUUUGUAUGUUAUUUUAUCUAUGUUAUUUAUUCUUGAUUAAAUAAUUAUUUGAUGAAUUGUUUUCAUUGGUCUAUUUUUAUGAUUUAUUUUUAUAUUAUCAUCCAAUGAUUUAUAUUUAUUUUCAGAUAAUAUUAGUAUAGUAGUGACCUAAGUAAUUGUAGCCAUAGGGUAUGACACAGGUAUUUUAUGAUAUUUAUCAUAUAAUUUUUUAUAUAUAUAAACUAUUUGACCUUAUGAAUGUUAAUAUUUGAUGGUUCUGGUUUCAUAAUUGGUACUAUGUUCGUCGUUGUAAGUGAUGGGGACAUGAACUUGGUUGAUUUCGUAUUGGCGGACAAUUUCAUUUAAUGUCGUCUUCAAAAUCGGUUUGGUCGUGAGACAGAAUUCAGACUGUAUGGCCAGAAAUGGCGUGACGAAUUUUUUGUCUCAUGUGAUAGUAAAUAGCUGGAGAGUUGAUGGAUCUUGAUCAGAUUCUCUGUUGGCAGACGAUUCAUACGUCAACUUAAGAUUCGCCAUUCAAUUUGUUUGGUUUGGACUGUGGGGCUUGAAAGGGUUGUAUAGCCUGCUGCCAUUGUUGCAUAGAGUUGAAUGAACCGCCUUAGUGUUGACUGAGGGUUCAAUCACUGGAUCGAAAACCUUCAUUUAGUUUUAGGAUUAACUAGAGGUUGAUACACUUGUGUAUUGUUUUAAUUUUUGUAUCACCCGUUUCGGGUCGACUUACACUCUUGUGUAGUUUUAAUGGGUUAGGUUUAUGUCCCCUGGUCCUUUGUAAUUUUUCCUUUUUUUUAAUUAUAUUUAUGAGCACUUGACAAAAUAUUAGAGUUGGAUACCAACUUAGUUGGAAGCCACUCCUUUUGAUGUCAUUUUGCUUUUGCCUUAUCCACAAAAAA
rnacentral:lncRNA from 1 species